rnacentral:rRNA from 1 species
UUAGAGUUUGAUCAUGGCUCAGGACGAACGCUGGCGGCGUGCUUAACACAUGCAAGUCGACGGGGCGAAGAGAAGCUUGCUUUUCCUAGCCUAGUGGCAAACGGGUGAGUAACGCGUAGGAACCUGCCCUUCAGAUGGGGACAACAUUUCGAAAGGAAUGCUAAUACCGAAUGACGUAUCUGGUCGCAUGACCUAGAUACCAAAGGCCGGGCAACCGGUCACUGAAGGAUGGGCCUGCGUUGAUUAGCUAGUUGGUGGGGUAACGGCCCACCAAGGCGACGAUCAGUAGCCGGUCUGAGAGAUGAACGGCCACAUUGGGACUGAGACACGGCCCAAACUCCUACGGGAGGCAGCAGUGGGAAUCUUCCGCAAUGGGCGCAAGCCUGACGGAGCAACGCCGCGUGAGUGAAGAAGGUUUUCGAUCGUAAAGCUCUGUUGUCAGGGACGAGAGACUUGAUCAGGAAAUGGGUCAAGGAGGACGUACCUGGCGAGAAAGCCACGGCUAACUACGUGCCAGCAGCCGCGGUAAUACGUAGGUGGGAGCGUUGUCCGGAAUUAUUGGGCGUAAAGGGAGCGCAGGUGGGAUUGUAAGUCAGUCUUAAAGUUCGGGGCUCAACCCCGUGAUGGGAUUGAAACUACAAUUCUUGAGUGCAGGAGAGGAAGCGGAAUUCCUAGUGUAGCGGUGAAAUGCGUAGAUAUUAGGAGGAACACCAGUGGCGAGGCGGCUUUCUGGACUGUAACUGACACUGAGGCUCGAAAGCGUGGGGAGCGAACAGGAUUGAUACCCUGGUAGUCCACGCCGUAAACGAUGAAUGCUAGGUGUAGGAGGUAUCGACCCCUCUGUGCCGGAGUUAACGCAAUAAGCAUUCCGCCUGGGGAGUACGGUCGCAAGACUGAAACCAAAGGAAUUGACGGGG